rnacentral:rRNA from 1 species
GACGAACGCUGGCGGCGCGCUUAACACAUGCAAGUCGAGCGAUGAAAUCUUGACAGAACCCUUCGGGGUGAAGAUAAGAUGGAUUAGCGGCGGACGGGUGAGUAAUACGUGAGUAACCUGCCUUAGACAUUGGGAUAGCCUCGGGAAACCGGGAUUAAUACCAAAUGAAAUCACAUAUGCACAUGCAUAAAUGAUCAAAGCUCAGGCGGUCUAAGAUGGACUCGCGUCCCAUUAGCUAGUUGGUGAGGUAACGGCCCACCAAGGCGACGAUGGGUAGCCGGCCUGAGAGGGUGAACGGCCACAUUGGAACCGAGAAACGGUCCAAACUCCUACGGGAGGCAGCAGUGGGGAAUAUUGCACAAUGGAGGGAACUCUGAUGCAGCGACGCCGCGUGAACGAAGAAGGCUUUCGAGUCGUAAAGUUCUUUUAUAUGGGAAGAUAAUGACGGUACCAUAAGAAAAAGCCCCGGCUAACUACGUGCCAGCAGCCGCGGUAAUACGUAGGGGGCUAGCGUUGUCCGGAAUCACUGGGCGUAAAGGGUUCGCAGGCGGAAAUGCAAGUCAGGUGUAAAAGGCAGUAGCUUAACUACUGUAAGCAUUUGAAACUGCAUAUCUUGAGAAGAGUAGAGGUAAGUGGAAUUUUUAGUGUAGCGGUGAAAUGCGUAGAUAUUAAAAAGAAUACCGGUGGCGAAGGCGACUUACUGGGCUCAUUCUGACGCUGAGGAACGAAAGCGUGGGUAGCAAACAGG